UGCGAUCGGCCGCGGCUCGGCGGGGGAGGCCGCGCUGCUGAGCCGGAGGAGGCGGCGGGCGCUGCUCUAAACUUGGACCAAGUUGGGGAACGGGCGGCCCCGCGCUCCCCCGAGGGGGGAGUCGCCUGGUUUGGUUUGUUUUUUUGGUGUUUUUUGGUUUUUUUUUUUCCGGGAUUUGGGUAUUUUUUGGGUUUUUUUGUUUUUUUUUUUUUUAAAGGAAGGACAAGGAGGGGGCAAGUCCCCGAGAGCCGCGGCGCUGCGAGCCCGUCACCAUGUGUCUGUAAAAACAAUAGGGCAAAAGUUGUCGGACCUUUUUUUUUUUCCUUAUUUUUAUUUUUUUCAUUGGUUUUUAAUUUUUUAAAAAUUUUUUAAAAAUCUAAUUUAUAUUUUUUUGUGGUCGGUGGCCGGGCCCCCCAAAUCCCAACAAAGCCAGGUGUAGUGUGCCUGUAAAGCUGUGGAAUAACCCGGAGCAGGACUGACACUUUCCAUACUUUUUGGUGGUUUUGGAGGGUCACACACGUGUGAGACAAUAAAGCACUUUGGCAGAAGAUUCCUCUCUUUUUAUUUUGAUUAUUUUUAUUACUUUUUUUUUUUUCUUUCUUUCUUUUUUUUCCCCCUUGGAAUAUUGUGAACAUAUUUGUGGCCAUUUAAGGUUUGUGUGAUUUUGCUAAAAUGCAUCACCAACAGCGAAUGGCUGCCUUAGGGACGGACAAAGAACUGAGUGAUUUACUGGAUUUCAGUGCGAUGUUUUCACCUCCUGUGAGCAGCGGGAAAAAUGGACCAACUUCCUUGGCAAGUGGACAUUUUACUGGCUCAA